GACGAACGCUGGCGGCGUGCCUAAUACAUGCAAGUUGAGCGCUGAAGGUUGGUACUUGUACCGACUGGAUGAGCAGCGAACGGGUGAGUAACGCGUGGGGAAUCUGCCUUUGAGCGGGGGACAACAUUUGGAAACGAAUGCUAAUACCGCAUAAAAACUUUAAACACAAGUUUUAAGUUUGAAAGAUGCAAUUGCAUCACUCAAAGAUGAUCCCGCGUUGUAUUAGCUAGUUGGUGAGGUAAAGGCUCACCAAGGCGAUGAUACAUAGCCGACCUGAGAGGGUGAUCGGCCACAUUGGGACUGAGACACGGCCCAAACUCCUACGGGAGGCAGCAGUAGGGAAUCUUCGGCAAUGGACGAAAGUCUGACCGAGCAACGCCGCGUGAGUGAAGAAGGUUUUCGGAUCGUAAAACUCUGUUGGUAGAGAAGAACGUUGGUGAGAGUGGAAAGCUCAUCAAAUGACGGUAACUACCCAGAAAGGGACGGCUAACUACGUG
rnacentral:rRNA from 1 species